UAAGCAAAGGAAAGAACACAACCCCUGAUACUAAAAUGAAAGUAGGAUACUAAUAACAGCUAAAGCCAUUCACACAUCAUUACCAAAAACCGAGCUAAACCAUUCAUUUAAAAUGUGAUCCAGUCAAAGUUCAGACCUCUAGAUCUGUCAAAAAACUGGUCAAAUUUCCAUCAGUUUCUCAUAAGCUUAAGAAGAGAUAGAAAGGAACAUUAGCACCAACAAAUAAUAAGCUUAAUAACAUUAGCACCAACAAAUAAUAUGAUAAGCAAAGGAAAGAACACAACCCCUGAUACUAAAAUGAAAGUAGGAUACUAAUACGAGCUAAAGCCAUUCACACAUCAUUACAAAAAACCGAGCUAAACCAUUAAUUUAAAAUCUGAUCCAGUCAAAGUUUAGACCUCUAGAUCUGUCAAAAAACUGGUCAAAUUUCCAUCAGUUUCUCAUAAGCUUAAUAAGAACCAAGAUCCCCAAUAAGCCAUUCAUUUUCUUUUUACCCCUCCAUUGG
rnacentral:lncRNA from 1 species